rnacentral:rRNA from 1 species
UGGGGAAUCCUGGUCAAUGGGCGAAAGCCUGAACCUGCGACGCCGCGUGAGUGAUGAAGGUCGUAAGAUCGUAAAACUCUUUUCAGGGAUCUUAAAGCCUGUCUGUCAACAACAGGCAGGUCUGACUCUCCCUGGAAGAAGCCCCAGCCAACUACGUGCCCGCAGCUGCGGUAAUACGUAGGGGGCGAGCGUUAUUCGGAAUUACUGGGUGUAAAGGGUAUGUAGGCGGCCCUUCAAGUCGCGUGUCAAAGUCCAGGGCGCAACGCUGGGUGUG